rnacentral:rRNA from 1 species
AUUGAACGCUGGCGGCAUGCCUUACACAUGCAAGUCGAACGGUAACGGGCCUUCGGGUGCCGACGAGUGGCGAACGGGUGAGUAAUACAUCGGAACGUGCCCGACCGUGGGGGAUAACGAGGCGAAAGCUUUGCUAAUACCGCAUACGAUCUACGGAUGAAAGCCGGGGACCGCAAGGCCUUGCGCGGAUGGAGCGGCCGAUGGCAGAUUAGGUAGUUGGUGGGAUAAAAGCUUACCAAGCCGACGAUCUGUAGCUGGUCUGAGAGGAUGAUCAGCCACACUGGGACUGAGACACGGCCCAGACUCCUACGGGAGGCAGCAGUGGGGAAUUUUGGACAAUGGGCGCAAGCCUGAUCCAGCCAUGCCGCGUGCAGGAUGAAGGCCUUCGGGUUGUAAACUGCUUUUGUACGGAACGAAAAGCCUUCUUUUAAUACAGGAGGGUCAUGACGGUACCGUAAGAAUAAGCACCGGCUAACUACGUG